UACGUAGGGUGCGAGCGUUAAUCGGAAUUACUGGGCGUAAAGCGUGCGCAGGCGGCUUUGCAAGACAGAUGUGAAAUCCCCGGGCUCAACCUGGGAACUGCAUUUGUGACUGCAAGACUAGAGUACGGCAGAGGGGGAUGGAAUUCCGCGUGUAGCAGUGAAAUGCGUAGAUAUGCGGAGGAACACCAAUGGCGAAGGCAAUCCCCUGGGCCUGUACUGACGCUCAUGCACGAAAGCGUGGGGAGCAAACAGG
rnacentral:rRNA from 1 species